UACAGAGGGUGCGAGCGUUGUUCGGAUUCAUUGGGCGUAAAGGGUGCGUAGGCGGCGGGGAAAGUCUGAUGUGAAAUCCUGGGGCUCAACCCUGGAACUGCAUUGGAUACUUCCUUGCUAGAGUACUGGAGAGGAAACUGGAAUUUACGGUGUAGCAGUGAAAUGCGUAGAGAUCGUAAGGAAGACCAGUGGCGAAGGCGAGUUUCUGGACAGUUACUGACGCUGAGGCACGAAGGCCAGGGGAGCAAACGGG
rnacentral:rRNA from 1 species